GUCUGGCCAAAGUCUACGCUCCAUACAAAUUUCGAAAAUUUUAUAUGAACAAAAGUCUACGAGGGGGUAGGGGGGGUCUAAGAUGACCGAAAAAAAGUCUACGUAGUUUAUGGACAGCGCCUUAUUGGUUUUGUAAAUUUCACUGAAAUCAUUAUUUGGGAUUAAUUUCACGUCGAAUACAUCAAUACUAGCAUAAAAAAUAAUAAAUUUUUCUCUGCUUCGAUAUAACGUACACUUCGAUAUAACGUACAAAGAGAAAACUUUUUUGUACGUUAUAUCGAAGAGUACCUGUAUUGAAUUGCCAAACAGGUGCUUUCCAAGAGGAAGUGGACGUCCCAGCAUACCUAUAAUUAAUUUUUGAUUUUCGAUCGACAGCACGCAGCACCGAGCGUUGACUGACACACUAGUUUUCAAGACCCCUCGUUUCGGUGUUGUCGUUUGGGCAGAAUGCCCAAUGGAUGUAAUAAAAUCAGACGAAUCCUUUUAUCUUUUAGCGGUAAUGUCAGCGAUGGGAACAACUAAGCGGUUGAGAUUUUGACGUUUUUGGGAAUCGCAAUCGGUUGGCUUCACCGAACAAACGGAGAGUUUUGGGUCAUCAUCAAAGUCGUUAGAGCUUGGCCAUCACCAAAGUGGAUCAAGGUCGAUGUUAGACCUCCUGAUAGGUCCUAAAGUCGGUAGUGUCGGAAGAAAUGAACGCUUGAGCUCCAGGUGCAACGAUAAGGGUGGUUAGAAGGUACUGCGAAUUGUCAUGUUCUUGAAAGUAUCGGAAUCAAUGAGUUUUAGGUCGUUUUCUCGUAGCGGAUGGACGCUGAACUAUUCAAUCGUCGGUCUAAAUUUUUACUCCUGUGCUAUCUGAGCGUUUAGGUGUUUACAGCGUGACAAAUUUGCUGCGGGAAUCUGCUCAGCAAACUCAUGAGAGGAAGCUCGGGACAGGGACCUCCUUCGACGCCAACGAAGGAGAAAUGAUUACUUUCCGAUCUAACCCUGAACCGUUCCCAUUGCCGCCUAGCCCAUCGUUUAUACGGCACCACCAGAAGGUAUUACGUAUUACAUACCGUGAGGUGCCCUAAUUUCGUGUGGGUCCAAAUUUCGCUUACUGACAACAUUUUAAGAUCAUAACCAACGAACUAAUUGUGAAAUUGUGUGGCUCCGUGGUCGUGCGGCUAGGGUCACCAAGCUCUUAGGCGCAUCGUGCUGAGGAGCGCGGGUUCGAUUCUCGCCGCAGCUGUCAGGAAAAGUUUUCGGCUGUGCCACUGGGCGUUGCAUACUAGUCGGUUGUCUAGAGUCGUGCUUCCUUCAGAGCGAAAAGCUCACUGAAAAAAAAUGACCACAUUUCACUUUAGGUUCAGUGAUAUUUAUUUCAACAAUUACACAAUUAGUUCGUUGGUUAAGGUCUCUAAAUAUUGUCAGUUAGCGAAAUUUGGACCGGCACAAAAUUAGGGCACCACACGAUACUUCGGAUAACAGAUUGAAUUUAGGUUAGUUGCUCAGUCUCUACGAACUAGAAAUCCUAAUUAAAGAAUGUGCGUAGUUGACGGGUCUUGCUGAUCAUAGAAAUGCUUGUGUUAGAAAAAGGUGUGUGGAGUCUCGUACUCGUGCGAUUAGGCAGUGGGGUUCGAUUCUCGGUCGGCCCAGGAACUUUUCGUAAAGGAAAUUGCCUUGACUCCCUUAGGACGUAGAGUAUCUUCGUGCCAGCCACACUACACUUGCAAAAUGGUCAUUGCCAGAGGACGUAGAGCUGAGAGGCAGGCUUUGUUGAAGUGGGGACGUUACGCUAUGAAGAAGAAUUUCCUCGAUGGAGUAAAAAGAAAAAGAUCAUGAAGAUUUCGAAACUGUACUGAAAUAGUAACCGUGUAGUAGAAGCCUUAUACUAGGCUCCGGUUUAAAUGCAAUUUGGACUUAUAUCGUUUGACAUGUUCUGAACAAUUUUGUGGAUGAAAUACGCAACAUCCUGAGCUCCAUUGGCCAACCAUGAUUCUAGAGGACAUAAAGCAGAUAUAGAAGGUUACCUCUCAUGGCGCCUGUUAACCAAAGUCCCUAUCCUCAGAGUCAACCUGUUUGUGGAACUGCCUUACGCUCGCGUAAGUAUGCACGCCACCAAAAGGCCGAAAUCAGUGUAACUACCACAAAAGGUCGAAAGCACAAAAGGCCGAAGAGAACGAAAGGCCGAAUUAUGAAAGAUGCAUAUUAACUCGGUUGCCGUUUAGUUAAAUGCUCUAUCAAAUAAAAGAAUAUAUAAUAUAAAGCAAAGGUUGUUUAAUGUCGUUUUCGUUUUUGCGGCGGUGCUACACUUUUCACUGCAAAAACGAACAUUUUCGGUGCAGUUGCAUUGGUGUGCGUGAAUAAAAAUCAAAAUAUUUACAACUUUGCAAACGUUGAUUGGUGGACACGGUGUACACUCGCUACACUCUCGAAUUUUUGAGUGCUGCACUAUCUUGAGCGGUGCAGAAAAAGUGCUACACCGGUGUAGCACGAAAAUCAAAAACGAACACUUUCGGUGCAAAAGUGCUACACCGGUGUAGCAACACCGCAAAAACGAAAACGACAUAAGUAUUUAAUAACCUCAAAUUGAAUAGUUGUAUUUUUAGUAGUCCCACUACAACGUAAAAUGCACACAAAUGUGAAUCAUACGGCGUGGCCGCAUGGAGGAUUGAGGAACAGAGGCGGCAGAAGGCCUCUGAUGUAUCCGAUAUCCGAUGCACCGUAAUUGCAUCGAUUCGAAUUAAAGGAAAACAGUAGUUCCAAUAGUAUGCUAGAUAUAAUGCGAACAGAAGUUGCUAUCUUUUUUUAAGUCCGACGAGCUUUAGCGAGUUCGGAGAGCAAGCGUUUCCCCGAUAUAUAACAAACGAGGUUGUUCGGCCAGCUAUAUGGCCUUUCUAUCACUAUGUACUGCCGUUAUAAGCAUAUUAUUCCAUAUUCUGUAUAAUUAUCACUAUACAUGUCACAUUUGUAGACAAUGUAGUGUUUACCUAAUGAUUGUGUACAUAUAAUAUCUACCUACAUGAAAUACUUACUUAUGACGGUACCGUCGUGCGGGGCUUCUUUAUACACUUUUUCAUGGUUUUUCUACUUUAUGAUAUUAUAACUCGCAGAGUAGCGAAUGGAUUUCCACAAUUUUCACACACAUUAAUCGUGAGUAUGUAUGUAGGAUGUAUGCAAAAUUUGAACUAAAUCCAUCAAUAAACAAAAAAUUGUUCAUACACCAAUCGGACACAUCUCAUAUAGAACCGGAUGGGGGCUACUUUGGACAUUUUUAAUUAUAACAAAACUGCAUUUUAAAUUCCAGGGUUAUUUAGAAAAUUACUUUGUAUCAUUACUGUACUAUACUAUAUCAAACAUGAUUUCAAUAAAAAUAUGCGUUUUUAAAUAAUUCUGCGCUAUUUUUGGUAUUAUGAGCAGCGUAAUAUUAUAAUAUAGACAGCCUGAAAAAAAGGACCAUCAAUCCCUUAUUUAGCUGAAACGGUUAUUUAUAGUGUAUAAAGAUACAAAUAUUUGAUUGUAUAUGCUACGUUGAUACAUCUUGGAUGAAUUGAUCAACCCUUUGAAAUUUAUGAACUGUAAAAACAAUGCUUACAGAGCAAAUGUUCUGAUACGAUUUGUAUAUUUUUUUGGUGUACUCGAUGUUUUUUCGCCUCCUGACAAACAAUAAAGGGUUUGUUUGAAAAACAAUUCCAACCAAAUGAUGGGGGAAAUAUUGCAUCAUAAUAGUCCCAAAGAUAUCAAACAGAUUUGAACCAUACAUUGAAUUCAAAAAAUGCAUAUUCAAAAGUGUCCAAAGUAGCCCCGCAUUUCAAAAGUAGCCCCGCACGACGGUACCUAAAUGUCUGGGUAUGGUUCAUUAUGUCUACCUAAGGUAGUAUAAAUACUGGUGUUCAUUGGAUCACACAGCAGAGACUGCACAAGCCUUGGACUGUCAACAUCUUUAUUAUUCUUCUUUUGAAGGAUAUAAAAGUGGCGACGAGGAUCAAGGAGCGUGUGAUUUAUUUUGAGUUAUUGGAGAUUUUUCCUUUGGUUUUUCAGGUUGUUGUAAUAACGCAUUGUUAUUUUUGUGGAGAACGGAAUUGUUCUUUUAUGGUAGAAUUGCCAUUAUGAUGUGAACACAGGGGGAACGACACUAGUUUUGCCAAGCCAAAAAAGCUGAAAAAAGUCGCUAAAACCCGCAGAAAGAUUUGCGGGUUUUUCGGCUUGGCAGAACUAAUGUCGCUCCCCCCGUGUGAGCAUAAUGUUUUUUUGCCGAUGUUGCAUCGACGAAAUUGUGUUUCUGCUUUGGUGAUAACGAAUGGUUUUUUUUUAUGAACGAAAUUGUUCUUUUUUGGGCGGAUUUGUCAUAUGUGUAUGGAAUUGUGUUAUGUGUAUUUGGUAAAGUUACCGAUGUUGUGAUAGCGAAAUCGUCCUUUUGUUUUUGUGAUUUAACGAAUUGUUAUUUUUUGUGGUUACCUAUUUUGUUAGGGAACAGAAGUGUUCUUUGAAA